GUUCCCCUCCCUUACUCCAGUCGCUCUCUUCGGUGGAGCGCUCUGGCAUUGUCUGGGGAAACAGCAAGCACUUCACCACACACAUUUACUGUGGUUACCCAACAGUAGAGAUUCAGUGGUGGAGUGGACAAG
ensembl:snoRNA